rnacentral:rRNA from 1 species
GAGUUUGAUCCUGGCUCAGAUUGAACGCUGGCGGAAUGCUUUACACAUGCAAGUCGAGCGGCAGCGCGGGGCGACCUGGCGGCGAGCGGCGAACGGGUGAGUAAUGCAUCGGAACGUGUCCAUGUCGUGGGGGAUAGCCCGGCGAAAGCCGGAUUAAUACCGCAUACGCCCGAGAGGGGAAAGUGGGGGACCGCAAGGCCUCACGCGAUUGGUUCGGCCGAUGUCCGAUUAGCUAGUUGGCGGGGUAAAGGCCCACCAAGGCAAUGAUCGGUAGCUGGUCUGAGAGGAUGAUCAGCCACACUGGGACUGAGACACGGCCCAGACUCCUACGGGAGGCAGCAGUGGGGAAUUUUGGACAAUGGGGGCAACCCUGAUGCAGCGACGCCGCGUGAGCGAUGAAGCCCUUCGGGGUGUAAAGCUCUUUCGGCAGGGAAGAUAAUGACGGUACCUGCAGAAGCAGCCCCGGCUAACUCCGUGCCAGCAGCCGCGGUAAUACGGGGGGGGCAAGCGUUGUUCGGAAUUACUGGGCGUAAAGGGCUCGUAGGCGGCCAACUAAGUCAGACGUGAAAUCCCUCGGCUUAACCGGGGAACUGCGUCUGAUACUGGAUGGCUGGAGUUUGGGAGAGGGAUGCGGAAUUCCAGGUGUAGCGGUGAAAUGCGUAGAUAUCUGGAGGAACACCGGUGGCGAAGGCGGCAUCCUGGACCAAUACUGACGCUGAGGAGCGAAAGCCAGGGGAGCAAACGGGAUUAGAUACCCCGGUAGUCCUGGCCCUAAACGAUGAAUGCUUGGUGUGACGGGUAUCGAUCCCUGUCGUGCCGAAGCUAACGCAUUAAGCAUUCCGCCUGGGGAGUACGGUCGCAAGGUUGAAACUCAAAGGAAUUGACGGGGGCCCGCACAAGCGGUGGAGCAUGUGGUUCAAUUCGACGCAACGCGAAGAACCUUACCCAGGCUUGAACAGCGAGUGACCACUCCCGAAAGGGAGCUUCCGCAAGGACACUCGUAGAGGUGCUGCAUGGCUGUCGUCAGCUCGUGUCGUGAGAUGUUGGGUUAAGUCCCGCAACGAGCGCAACCCUUGUCUGCUGUUGCCAUCAGGUUAUGCUGGGCACUCUGCAGAGACUGCCGGUGAUAAACCGGAGGAAGGUGGGGAUGACGUCAAGUCAGCAUGGCCUUUAUGUCUGGGGCUACACACGUGCUACAAUGGCCGGUACAAACCGUCGCAAAACCGCAAGGUCGAGCUAAUCGGAGAAAGCCGGUCUCAGUUCGGAUAGCAGGCUGCAACUCGCCUGCUUGAAGUUGGAAUCGCUAGUAAUCGCGGAUCAGCACGCCACGGUGAUACGUUCCCGGGCCUUGCACACAC